UGUGAGUUUAUCAGCUGCACAGGGUGGCACAGAGAAAGGUAGCAGAGCAGAGCCGUGUGAGUUUAUCAGCUGCACAGGGUGGCACAGAGAAAGGUAGCAGAGCAGAGCCGUGUGAGUUUAUCAGCUGCACAGGGUGGCACAGAGAAAGGUAGCAGAGCAGAGCCGUGUGAGUUUAUCAGCUGCACAGGGUGGCACAGAGAAAGGUAGCAGAGCAGAGCCGUGUGAGUUUAUCAGCUGCACAGGGUGGCACAGAGAAAGGUAGCAGAGCAGAGCCGUGUGAGUUUAUCAGCUGCACAGGGUGGCACAGAGAAAGGUAGCAGAGCAGAGCCGUGUGAGUUUAUCAGCUGUACAGAGUGGCACAGAGAAAGGUAGCAGAGCAGAGCUGUGCCCACGCAUUCUACUCGUUGUCUUGUUUAAUUAAUUGUUGUCUUAUUUAGUUGAAUAAUACAGUGCAGACCAUUUAAAUGUUAUAAAUGCACUUUCUGCUGUUGUAUGCUUCCCUUCUGAAAAGUUUCUGCGGCUCUGAUCUGCUUAUGACCUCCCGAAAUUUACUGGUGCAUGAAAAGAGUAUCAUGUAUUAGCUUGUUUAAUGCAGACAGCCUAUCCAUCCUGGAAGCAGACCUUCUCCUUGGCAGCUUAGUGACACAGCUAAGUGCCCUGAAUUGCUUCGAUGGACCUAAAAUAAUUAAACGCCGCUUUCAUUCCUUCUAAGGAUUUUUCCGUUUUUUCCAGGAACUCCACUCGGCGUACCUCUAAUACUCUUCCUUCUGUCUGCAUCUGAAAAUGUCUUGUCGCUGACCUUAUGCUGAUGUCUGAGACUGGACCAUUGUAUUUCUCACAUACAUCAUCUCCUGCAUGCGCUUCCAAGCGAUUAACAUUUCAGCAGGUCAGCUAUUAAUUUAGCUUAAUUUAUUAAGUUGCUUACGACUUGUCAUUAGCUACUUUGCUUGUUUGUAAUGGGCAGAGUGAGCCCUAUCUGAAUCAGGUCCAGCUUCCGUCUGCCCGCUACGCCACCUGGAUUACCUGGCAGCUGUCUGCAUGUUGAGCUGGCAGGAUGCUGCUGGUCUUGGCAGGAGACGUCACUCUGGGGAGCGGGAGAGUACAAGGGCUCGGACCACAGAAUGGAGCGGCGCAAUUCCAGUUCCAGCCACCGGAGGCCUGAGGGCUGGAUCCUGUGCUCUGCACCUGCGCCUCCCCAGCGCGUGUGAGGAAGAGGGGAAAGCGGAUGGGUGGUGGGAGCGGGAGGCUCUGCCAGCCCAUCGAUCGCUCUUACCUCAGAGAUGGCCACUAAUUCCAUGACCUGCCGGCCCAUGGGAAGCACUCAGGACUCAUAGAGGAUGGGGGACGGAGCCCAGGCCACAGCUGAGGCCCAAAAUGGAUGGGAUCCAGGCUGGGGAUGUGAGAUCCAGGCUGGGGAUGUGAGAUCCAGGCUGGGGGUAUGAGAUCCAGGCUGGGGAUAUGGGAUCCAGGCUGGGGGUAUGAGAUCCAGGCUGGGGAUAUGAGAUCCAGUCUGGGGAUAUGGGAUCCAGUCUGGGGAUAUGAGAUCCAGGCUGGGGAUGUGAGAUCCAGGCUAGGGAUGUGAGAUCCAGUCUGGGGAUAUGGGAUCCAGGCUGGGGAUGUGAGAU